rnacentral:lncRNA from 1 species
UCAACUGGAAAUAUGAAAUGGCUUGAAAGAACCGUUGAAGAGCUGGGACAUAAAAUUAUGAUGGCAAGGAGAAAGAAGCAGGGAACGCAAAGGAACUACAGAAGACGAAAUAACCUCUUCUAGAAAAUUUACCAAUGGAGCAAAAUUCGAUUUCAGGAACUUACAGUUAUUCAAGCUGAGCUAAACAACUAAUCGAUACUCUCUCCGAAGCAUAUUCUUCUUAUUGAUAAGUGUUUGAUGUUCACUAUCUUGUUUUUCAAAUUUCAGAUGUCAAGGAUAAGAGGACGUUGGCGCAGUGGAGUUAGUUACUCCUAUUGUUCACUACUAAGCUUAAUUUUGAGAGAUGUCUGCAUUUACAUUUGUUCUUCUUUAGUUUGUAUUAAUCUACUUAAGGUUUAUAAACUUAAUAUAUUUUUCAAGUUCAUAUGCUCAAGUUUGAAUGUCUCGUUACAUAAUCCCAAAAGGAAGACAAUAGCUCAAGCUAUUUAAUUCAUAAUUUCAAACCAUAUUUGUUUCGCAAACAGAAAUAAGCUUAUAGAUCACUAACUGAUCUGUUACAAAUUAGAACAAGAAAAUAUUACGAAUCGAAACCUGAAUUCUCUUCAGUAUUCCGUCCUCACAAGAGUACGCGAAGAAUCUAAGAGGUACUCCCAUACAAACGGAAAUAGUUGUCUAUUCUGCAUCUUAAUGACAAUCACGUUCUCUACUUUCCUAUAUUUGAACUAUAACUCUUCUGUUUCUGCUAAUUUGACCAACUUGUCUAUUUUGUUUCUUCAUGAGAAUCACCUUUCUGGACCUAUUCCUGAAGAGAUUUGGCAAAUUAAAAGGACGUCUUUCAUAUAAAAUAUAGUAAAGAAAUUAUUUUCUAUAACCUCUUCUAGAAAAUUUACCAAUGGAGCAAAAUUCGAUUUCAGGAACUUACAGUUAUUCAAGCUGAGCUAAACAACUAAUCGAUACUCUCUCCGAAGCAUAUUCUUCUUAUUGAUAAGUGUUUGAUGUUCACUAUCUUGUUUUUCAAAUUUCAGAUGUCAAGGAUAAGAGGACGUUGGCGCAGUGGAGUUAGUUACUCCUAUUGUUC